UACGAAGGGGGCUAGCGUUGCUCGGAAUUACUGGGCGUAAAGGGCGCGUAGGCGGCGCAUUUAGUCAGGCGUGAAAGCCCUGGGCUCAACCUGGGGACUGCGCUUGAGACGGGGUGUGCUAGAGGGACGGAAAGAGGGUCGCGGAAUUCCCAGUGUAGGAGGUGAAAAUUCGGUAGAUAUUGGGAAGAACACCGGUGGCGAAGGCGGCGACCUGGUCCGUUACUGACGCUGAGGCGC
rnacentral:rRNA from 1 species